GAAUGAGGGUAAAUCAGACCCGGGGGGGGCGUUGGGAUGAGAGGAUGGGGAAGGAGCAAUCCUUGAAGCUCAGACCCACUCCCUCCUCACCCCUUCCUGCGUUUUAACCGUGUUUCUCUCCUCCCUCUCCCCGGGCUCGGGGGGUGUGACAGUUACACCUACGAAGAUGAUGCAGGGAUUUUCCCGGAGUGCCAGUUCGUCUAUGACCUGGAGGUCCCAGUCGACUUCCGGCCUGAGGUGGGAGAUGGGGAGGUGCUGGAAUUCUACCUCUGGUCCCUGGAACAGGUGAAAGAGCUGCUCGCAGGUUCUGAAUUUAAACCGAACUGUGCCAUGGUGGUGUUGGACUUCAUCAUUAGGCAUGGGCUGCUACACGCUGAUAACGAACGCCAUUACCACCAGCUGGUCGAGGGGCUGCACAGGGAGCUGUGAAGGCGACAGUCUGACCCUGACACGCUGUUGGGAAUCCAGCCGCGCCCCCCCCCCCCCCCCCCC